AACGAACGCUGGCGGCAGGCCUAACACAUGCAAGUCGAGCGCCCCGCAAGGGGAGCGGCGGACGGGUGAGUAACGCGUGGGAACGUACCCUUUGCUACGGAAUAGCCUCGGGAAACUGGGGAGUAAUACCGUAUGUGCCCUUCGGGGGAAAGAUUUAUCGGCAAAGGAUCGGCCCGCGUUGGAUUAGGUAGUUGGUGGGGUAAUGGCCUACCAAGCCGACGAUCCAUAGCUGGUUUGAGAGGAUGAUCAGCCACACUGGGACUGAGACACGGCCCAGACUCCUACGGGAGGCAGCAGUGGGGAAUCUUAGACAAUGGGCGCAAGCCUGAUCUAGCCAUGCCGCGUGAGCGAUGAAGGCCUUAGGGUUGUAAAGCUCUUUCAGUGGGGAAGAUAAUGACUGUACCCACAGAAGAAGCCCCGGCUAACUCCGUGC
rnacentral:rRNA from 1 species